rnacentral:rRNA from 1 species
UGCCAGCCGCCGCGGUAAUACGGAGGGUGCAAGCGUUGUUCGGAAUCACUGGGCGUAAAGCGCGCGUAGGCGGCAAGGUAAGUCAGAUGUGAAAUCCCUCGGCUCAACCGAGGAACUGCAUUUGAAACUGCCUGGCUUGAGUACCGGAGAGGCUGGCGGAAUUCCAGGUGUAGCGGUGGAAUGCGUAGAUAUCUGGAAGAACACCAGUGGCGAAGGCGGCCAGCUGGACGGCUCCUGACGCUGAGGCGCGAAAGUGUGGGUAGCGAACGGGAUUAGAUA